UGGAAUCCAAUACCCUCAAUCUUGCAUGGUGAGUUAUCAAAACCCAAAUAGUUAUGGUAAAAAAGAAGAAAGAAAGAAAGCCAAAAUAGUACCAAUAUCAAUAGCAGAUUCGUAAGUGGUUCUGUUUUGUGUUUUCAGUUACCAACGUGAAGCCUCACAGUACACACACGCUAGUCUAGCAGGAGCCGGCACCAAGUCCAACACGGUAACAAAUUUGAAUCGCUGUUCAACAAUACUUGUAAUUAAAUGUUGGUUUCAUACUAUAAUUGAAUAAAUUCUUAAGAUUUUUUUGGGAAAUUUCUGUGUAUUUGCAAGAUUGCUACAACUGGGUGGUGGAUAGAGUAAGACUUCAAGAUUUUUAUUUUUUUUGAGAACAGUGACUUCGAGAUUAUGCAUGCUUUGAAAAGUAAAAAAAAAACCGAAAUAUCCAGGACCUGUGUUGAACAACUUAAAAAAAUAUUAGGGCCCAAACAUGCAUUUUUUAAGUUUCGGGGCUAAUUUGACACCUUUAAAAAAAAUUAGGAUCUUUAGCGUAUUUUACUCA
rnacentral:lncRNA from 1 species